UACGGGGGGGGCAAGCGUUGUUCGGAAUUACUGGGCGUAAAGGGUGCGUAGGCGGUCGGGUAAGUCGGAUGUGAAAUCUCAGGGCUCAACCCUGAAACUGCAUUCGAUACUGCCUGGCUAGGGUACUGGAGAGGAGACUGGAAUUUACGGUGUAGCAGUGAAAUGCGUAGAUAUCGUAAGGAAGACCAGUGGCGAAGGCGAGUCUCUGGACAGUUACCGACGCUGAGGCACGAAGGUCAGGGGAGCAAACGGG
rnacentral:rRNA from 1 species